GGCCCUUUCCCCUCAGGGCAAAGGGCACCGAGAGGCAAGGGAGGGGGUCGGCGAGCGGGCUGGGGGUCAGAGGGUAGGGAGCAUCACCCAGGGUCUCCUGGCUGCCAGUCUCCCAGAGUCCCCAGCUUUCCAGGUAGGGACGCCCCCUCCCACGCAGCGCGGCUCGCUCGGGUGGGAAGGAGGGGCUGGGCUCCGAGCGCCCGCCCCUCCAUCUAUCACAUGGCCGGAGAGCCACAAAAACAACAGCUUUGGCCAAGACGGUGACUUCAGGAAAGGGAACCCAGGGCUCUCGCAGCCAGCCCCCACCCCAUGGAGGAGAGUUUUCUUGAAUCCUUUGGGAGGCUGAGCCUCCAGCAGCAGCAGCAGAAACCUCGGCCGCCGGCCCCGCCACCCCCGCGUGGGACACCUCCGCGCCGUCCCAGCUUUAGGAAACACCUCUACCUCCUGCGAGGCCUCCCGGGCUCGGGGAAAACUACACUGGCCAGACAAUUGCAACACGACUUUCCCAGGGCCCUGAUUUUCAGCACGGAUGACUAUUUCUUCAGGGAAGACGGUGCCUAUGAGUUCAAUCCCGACUUCCUGGAGGAAGCGCAUGAGUGGAACCAGAAAAGAGCCAGAAAAGCAAUGAAGAAUGGCAUAUCCCCCAUUAUUAUUGAUAAUACCAACCUCCACGCCUGGGAAAUGAAGCCCUAUGCAGUCAUGGCACUUGAAAAUAACUAUGAAGUUAUAUUCCGAGAACCUGACACUCGCUGGAAAUUCAACGUUCAAGAGUUAGCAAGAAGAAACAUUCAUGGAGUCCCCAGAGAAAAAAUACACCGAAUGAAGGAGCGGUAUGAACACGAUGUUACCUUUCACAGCGUGCUUCAUGCAGAAAAGCCCGGCAGAAUGAACAGAAACCAGGACAGGAAUAACGCCUCACCUUCCAACGGCGCACGAUACUGGAAUCCGUACGCUGAGUUUCCCAACCGGAGGGCUCAUGGGGGCUUCACAAAUGAGGGCUCCUUUAACAGAAGAGGUGGCUGUCACCAUGGAUAUUAGAGGCCUAUCUUACAUGCAAUCGAAAUUUUCCUAAAUCAGUUUUUACUGCAAAUUUUGGUAUUUAUUCUUUGUUCGGUUUUCCUCAGAGCUCUAAUUCCAGUGUAAAUAGUCGGACCUGAAAGUUUUUGAGCAGAAGUCAUUAUACUCAUCUUCAACAAGCAUUUGUUACAGUGAUCCUAUAUGCAUGGUCUGAUGCUGGGAAUUCUGCUGACUUGAUUAAACAAAGUCCCUUUCCCUAGGGAGACCAGAAAUUGGAAACAGAAACCUGAGAACGGGCCCAUGCACAUACGCAGUCACCUAAGUUCGAUAUAUAGAAGCUUUAGUACCACUUUCUCUGAAGUAAUCUACUUUUCCAGGAAAUUCAUCUUCAUCAGGAAAGUUGGAAAGGUGGGGGAGAAGUGGGAGGCAGGAAAAAUAUUAGUGCCAUUGCUACUUUGAUAAUCUAUGUAUCCCAAAAUGUGAGAUGUGUGGCUGUCAUGAUGAUACUGAUUUUCCCUUAAAAUGCACAUGCCAGAGAGCAUACAUCUAAGGGAAUACUGUCCUUCAAAGUAGAUACUUGGGGAAAUUAUUCCUUUAUUCUAGUGAUGUGUCAUUGUUAAAAAUAUUGGAUCCUUCUUUUAAAAUUUUUUUUUUAGAGACAGAGAGUGAGAGAGCAGGGGAGGGGUAGAGGAAGAGGGAGAGAGUGUCUUAACAUGCUCCUUGCUCAGCAUGGAGCCCACCGUUGGGCUCAAGCUCAUGACCCUGAGAUAUGACCUGAGCUGAAAUCAAGAGUUGGGUGCGCUACCGACUGAACCACCCAGGAGCCCCUGUCAGAUCCUUAACAGCUGUACAAGGUGUUUCAUAUUUGGUGCCACAAGCCCGUGGUGGCUGAAAUGCCUUCUGUGCAGCUGGAGAAACAAAUGAACAGAUGGGACUGACAGGUGGAGAAUCGCAAAUGUACUGCACUGGUCUGGCACAUCACAAGGACCCCAGAAAUGUACACACCCUCUUUGAGAAACACACUAUUUCAACACAGCACUUGCCCUGAUGGCCAGAAGACCAACCAGAGCUUCCCACUGUAAAAGAGGAAGAUUAAGCCCCCCAGGAUGCCCUCUUACUCUCCCACCUCCAGAUAAGCUGGGUCUGGUGCAUUCGCCACUGCUUCAUAAAGCUCUGCACCAUCUUGCAGAGCACAGACUUGCUGUCUUGUUAAUGCACAUGAUGGUCUACAUUGUUUCGUUAUAUUUUCUAGGAAAAAAAAGCAUCAUUAAUAAGCCAUAACACAAAUUUAAGAACCUUGAAAGCUAGAGAAACAAGCAAAAAGUAGCCAAAGAAGGGAGGCUAAAAAGCAAAACACAAUUUAUCUGCUAAAAGUUUUCUAGGAAAAUUUCAAACUAGUGCACUCACUCCUGGUUUAAAAAAUUGUCACACAGAGAGCUUAGAGUAAUUUAUAAAUUAAGUAAAUGAUUUCAUGAUUUACUUCAUCAUGAAAACAGCAUAAGCUGGUGAAUCGAACAUUGAGAGUCUAAUUUUCCUACAGAUUUAUAUAGAACAGGAAGUUGAAAAUCAUGAAGAAAUGCAGAACACAAAAAUUUCAGCAAAAAACAAACAUCAAUUUCAUGUCCUUUAUGCUAAAAAUACUAUAAUUUUUUUAUUAUUAAAAUUGCUGCCACCAGGAAAACAAGAUCUGGCUCUAGGUGUGAUAAUACAUAAACCAACAACUACAACAAUGAAAAUACAAAAGUUAUAUAAAAAGUAGGUAAGGGUACUGAAGAAAAUGAUAUAUGGCUUGGGAAAAUUUUUUUUGAGAGUUUAUCCUUCCUUUUUAUUGAAUAUAUUUGACAUAUAACAUUGUAUAAAUUUAAGGUGGCCAAUGUGUUACUCUGAUUCAUUUAUAUACUUAAUAUGAUUGCCAUUGUAUUAAUAUUCAUCAUAUCACAUUAGUACAAUAUCGUCUAUAUUCUUUAUACUGUGCACUGGCUCACUAUAGCUUAUUUGUUCAUUGUUGUUUUACCUUUAAACACCAUCAAUUUUAUCCUACCACCUCUCAUCUGUUGAAAACCACCAUUUUACUUUAUUUAUGAGUUUACUUUAGUUACAUUCUGUCCGAGGUGACAUCAUACUGUACUUGUCUAGGGGAAAAUAAUUUGGCAGCUUUUUUCCCUUGCUACUAUUCUUUCUCUAAUACCAAAAACGAUACUAUAAAUACUUUAAUAUUGAAGCUUAAGAGGAAGUUUACAUAAGACUUCUGAGAUGUGUUGUGGUUAUGUAAUGUUUUAUUGUCUAAGAUAAUUACAAGUAUCUAAAAGGUCAAUGUGUUGAAUAAAAAGGUGAUAAUUUGGGGGUCACUUCUAUGCUUAUUUGUAUGUCUUUGUAAUAAUAUUUUUAAAAAAUUUAAAAAAUUCAGAUACAGGAUUAAGAAAGAAGUCUAUUAUUCAAAUUAAAAAAAUUCACUCAAUUUACAGAGGUUAAAUCAGAAGCCUCUAAAAAGCCUUAUAAAAAACCUUAUUCUCAUAUGAAAAAGAACUUGUAAUAUACAAUUCAUUUUACCAUCAUGCUUUUCAAAUUCCCCUUGAAUUUUAUUGAAUAAAACUUCUAGUUUCUUUUGUUGGGCUUCUGCAUA